CGUCAUCCCCUGUGCGGAGUCCCGCUGAGCAGUCCUUGACGUGGCCUGCUUUCUCCAUUCCCCAUCUGAUGUUUCUGCCCAGACCCCCGGGAGCCCGGGCCUGGCCUCUAGCUGGCUCACAAGACGUUCUGGACUGAAGCCUUUGGAUCCUCUGUGGGCUUUUCGUUCACGUUUCACUGACCAGAACGCGGCCACGCGGCACCCCCUCUCUGCGAGCAGCUUGGAAGCGAGGUCCGGCACCGUGCCAAGGGAGGAGAGGACGACGUGGCUAUCGGGGAAAGGCACUUAGGGAAAAGUCUCGGUUGAAGCAACUGGGGCCAAUAAGGACCAGAAACGGAUGAGAUGCUCCAGCAAGAAGCAGAGGGCCUGAAAGAGAAAUCUGGACCCCAGACACAGGAAGAAAGGCAGAAGACAGCCAGCGUCCAGGCACUUCAAAGAAACCCACUUGGAAGCCAGGACUUGGGGAGCUAGGCAAGGAUGUCUCACAAACGCAGUUCCCCAAGUGUGUUUCUGCAAAACUCCUUGAAGGUUCUGAGGGGGCGAACAGGAGAGAACUUCCAGACAAGGAGAGCAAGAGGGACUUUGCAGAUGUGAUUACGUUAAGGAUCUUGGGAUGGGGAGACCCUGGAUUAUCUGGGUGAGCCCAAUGUAAUCACAAGGGUCCUUCUAAGAGGAAACUGGAGGAGACAGAGGAGAAAAAGGCAAUGUGGCAACAGAAACAGAGAUCAGAGCGAUCUGGCUGGAAGCCAAGGAAUGCCAGCAAACUCUAGAAGCUGCAAGAGACAAGAAACGGAUUCUCCCCUGGAGCCUCCCCAAGGAAGGAGCCCUGUCGACAUCUUGACUUUAGCACAGUCAGCCUGCUUUUGGACUUUGACCUCCGGAAAUGUAAGAGAAUACUUUCUUCUGUUUUAAGUCACUGAGUUUGUGGAAAUUUGUUAGGUAGUCAUAGGAAACUAAUAUAGAGAAUAUAAGGAAAUUACAAAGCACCCAUAUCAAACCACCCUUUGGACUAAACACACACACUAGGGGUGCCCGGGUGGCUGUCGGUUGAGCAUCUGACUUGGGCUCAGCUCAGGAUCUCGUGAUGCGUGAGUUCAAGCCCCGCGUCGGUCUCUGUGCUGACAGCUCAGAGCCUGGAGCCUGCUUCGGAUUCUGUGUCUCCCUCUCUCUCUGCCUUUCCCCCACUCACACUCUGCCUCUCUCUCUCUCUCUCUCAAAAAUAAACGUUAAAAAAAGUUUUUUUUUAAACAUGGUAGCCACUCUAUUUACAGCCCUGCAGUGUCUGCUAAUUGUUUCCUGUGUCUUACUACUCUCACUAGACUGGAUCGUAAGGAAGCUCUUGGGGUAACUCUAUCCCAACCUCCAUUACUGGCUUUCUGAAAUACCAAGCUCAAAACUAUCCAGAGUAGUCAUGCUGCACUGGGUCCAGCCCAGCGUAAAUGAGGCAUCUGGACACGUCUCAUGAAUUCCGAGGGGGGCCUGUAUCCAGGUGGUGAUUUGCAUGUGUGGACCUGUCGAGGAAAAAAGAAGGAAGUGUGAAGACGGUGUGUGAAGGCCUGGGGCAGGGCUGAGUGGAGGGACAGGAUGGCACUUGUCUCUUCUCAGCCCAGACUAAUUAAUGCCACGGGCUGAGUCCUGUGGAGCCGCAGGCAGAGGCUGCAUGGACAGCUCUCAAGAACCCUGAGAUGUGGGGCACGAGUGGCCCCUAUCUGGGUGACGAUGUGUGACACCGGGCUGGGGACAGAGUCGUUCCCCCCACUUGCGCACUGAGUGCAGGACAGCUCUGGUAUGAUGAGGAAGGAAGGACAAGCAGUACCAUUCGGCCUUUCCUGGAGGAUGGAUGGGAGUGCUCCUGGUCACUCCUCUUUGGGCAGUGGAUCAGUGGGGAGCCCCAUGGCUAAGGCAACAGUCACCAGCUAAGGGACAGUCAUCAUCCAAUGGUGGUUGGGGACAGAAUCAAGUGAAGGGAUCAUUUCUGAGCAUAUGUAAGACAUUCCUGGGGGCUCUAUUGUGUAGACACAGAGGUAGGAAGGAGGCAAGGCUUUGUAUCAGGGAGGUGGAAACACAAAUCGGCAAAAUGCAAGCUAUUAAUGUGCAUUUGAACUUAUUUGUGCCCAGUGGUUGGUGAAGCCAGGACUCCUUCAAGGAUCGGUUGAUUACUGCUUUUAGAUUAAAUGUAUUCAAUAAUGGAAAUGGACCUGAGAGCCAACUUGAACAAACGAAAGCAUUUUGUGUUUUGAAAGCAUUGAGCUCAACUGGGUGUUGAUUUCACCCAUCGUUUGCUAAUCGGAUCCCGGACCCCUUGGUGUCGGUGUGCUGUGUAAGUCAGGUUUCUGAUGUGGCAAAAACCUGGUCUUUUUGUUGACUGUGGUUUCCCCAGUCCUUAGCACAGUGCCUGAUGCAUAGAGGCACUCCAUAAAUAUUUAUACUAUCCCUACAUUAUAAAUCCCUACAUUAGCUAAGUCAGAGAUGCAUGUUACUGACCCUUUACCUCCACUUUUACCUUCCACCUCCUGGAAUCGUGCAGUGUUAUCACGUUACCAAAAUCAGCAAGCAAAAUGCAUCCUCUUUAGCAGGAAUUUCGGUGUUUGGCCUAGCCAUGACAAAGGAAGCAUACUGAGAUUUUGUGUAUGGGCAAGAGGAUGGGAAAUUCGAACCCAACAUCCUAAGCCUUGCUUGUGAGUCCCCCCUGAAAGCCGCUGAAUGACAUCUGGCAAAAGCCCCAUGAGGCAUCCCCAUCCUCCGUGGCUUUACCCAUCAGCACCGUGUAGGCUUGCAGUUGCCUAGGAAUCUUCUCGUAAAUCUGAUGGAGACACAGGGUGAAACACACUCGCCUGGAACGAUGACCAUGAGCCCCAGGUCAGGCUCCCAGAUCACUGUCCUUCCACUUCACCCUACACAUCCAUCCAGGGCUCACAGGAAGAAUGAGCAGAGUUGGUAAAUACUGAUCUCACAGACAGUGGUGAGCAUUAGAAGGCACCACCCUAAUUGCUGUCCGUUGAGGGAUUAUGAUAGCCCCCACUACAGACUCCCCCAAGAGCUAACCUUCAAGCGUCCAGUUUUGUAAAACUAACAUGGAACCGCUUUGCUCAAAUUACGAGUGUGAGGUUGCCAAGGAAAAAUGAGUCAGAGUAAUCCCUUUCUAAGAGAUGAGAAGAAAAAAAAAAGCCUGCAAAGCUUUAAUAUUUUAAUUACCUACUUCCAGAACAAUAAAAAAGGGACUAAUAUCUUCCACGCAGUGAGGUGCGUUAUGACGGUUUCAUAAAGUAGCUUGAGCUAUUUCCCCAGGACAGAAGCCUUACGCUUUUUCCUUUCAUCUGUAUUCAACCAUUCCAACGAUAUUCAAUCUUAGAAGGGUUAAGAAUUAAAUUUUCCUUUAGGGUUUGAGUUCCAAAUAUUGGAACCAUAAGCAAGUUAAACCUUGCCGCUUUCAUGAAAGACUUGUAAGGGUCUUUAAAUGCCUCCUGGGAACAAUGACUAAAGGUAAUGUCAGAUCCUGGAACAGAAAUAGGACAUUAGGUCAAAUCUAAGGAAAUCCGCAUAAAAUGUGGACAUUAGUUAACAAUAAUAAUGUAUCGAUAUCGGUUCAUUGAUUGUGACAAGUGCAUGUCCCAUUCUGAUGUAAGAUGUAAUAACAGGGGACACUGGGUAGGGGCAUAUGCGAAGUCUCUGUGCUAUCUUCACAAUUUUUCUGAGUCUAAAACUAUUCUAAAAUAAAAAAGGUUUUUUUUGUUUUGUUUUGUUUUGUUUUUUGGAGAAGAAUGCCUCCUGAUUUCAUUGACGACUCCUUGAAGAUUAUUAUUUUUGUGAUAACAGCAGAGCUCCAGUGGGUCAUCUGAGCAUCACAAUUUGGGCUAAACUGAGAACCCCUGAAAUGGUGUCUAGGUGUGACUCCAGAUGAAUUCUUUAGCCCUUCUGGCCGCGAGAAGAUUCUCGCUUUCUUAAUGGUCCUGGAAGCCAGGCAAUUCAGAGAUGCAAGUGGGAAGUGAUCCUUUCAUGGAAAAUGGAUCAAAACUGGAAGGGAGAGGCAUUGGGAAAUAUUGUGGGAAGAAGUCCUGAAGGAACGUGUGUGUGUGUGUGUGUGUGUGUGUGUGUGUGUGUGUGAUACCUCCCUCACGCGGCUUAUGUUGUUCCCUGUGUCUAGGAGAGUUCUGUAUUUCUCAACUGCUGAGAAACCAGCCUCAUCUCUUAAACUGUCCUUGGAUCCCACCUCUUUCAUGAAACUUUAGUAGCUAGGGCUAUGGAUGGUGGCUCUUGCCUACCUCCAACCUGUUUGUCUCUCUCUCUCUCUUUUUUAUUUGAGAGAGAGAGAGAGAGAGAGAGAGAGCGCGCGCGCACACGCAUGCGAGCGGGGGAGG